GGGCUGUUAGCUCAGCUGGUAGAGCGCAGCAUUCGCAUUGCUGAGGCCAGGAGUUCGACUCUCCUACAGUCCA
rnacentral:tRNA from 1 species